GUGCAAAUAUUUGCUCAUUUUGAAAUGGAUGCCUGCAACACGUUUCAAAAAAGCUGGGACAGUGUUGGGCAACAAAAGACUGGGAAAGUUGAUGAAUGCUCAAAGAACACCUGUUUGGAACAUUCUACAAGUGAAGAGGUUAAUUGGAAAGAUGUGCAUGUCAUGACUGGGUAUAAAAGGAGCAUCCCCAAAAGGCUCAGCCGUUCACAAGCAAAGAUGGUAUGAGGAUCAUCACUUUGUGAACUACGUGG